GGGGAUUUAGCUCAGUGGCAUAAGCACCUGCCUUGGAAGCAGGUGGUCGUGAGUUCAAUCCCCC
rnacentral:tRNA from 1 species